UACACCACCGCUCCCAGGUAGACACACACACACUGCUACACCACCCACAGCUGACUUGCAUUCAUGAUGCCGCGUGAGCUGUGCGAGUGCUGCCGCCCGUGCUGCUUGCUAUUGUAGUCACGCGUGUGGCGUAUCUUGGGCCCCCCGCUGCAAAGCUCGCGAGAUUAAGGUCGGCCGAAUGUUUCUGGCGGCCUUAAUUAACCCGCUUCAGGCUGAGCCAUAGCAGAGAGCAGCCCGUCCCUUAUCUACACGGGAAGCCACCCGGCAUUCCAUUCAACGGCAGCUCUCGGGGCAUAGCGACAAAUGCAAUGCAUUUAUAAUACAUUGUUUGUUUUGCAAAUGAUCUAGUCGGGAGGCACAGUGGAGUUGUGAGCUUGCGACUCACAGUCAUAAUGGCACAGGUGCAUCUCAGCAGUGGCUUACUCGGAACGUCUUGACUGGAGAAAGCUCCAGGGAGCAUUUUGCUCCGACUCUUCAAACUCAAAGUGGACGCCGUGGAAGAGAUGGAAAUAAACCUCGUGUUGGACAUUGGAAUACAGAUGCUUCUGGCGCCUUUAUUCAGGGAGACAACGCUGGUGCCUUUCCAUGACGGCUUUUAUUUUAUUGAUGGCAGCGUGAUCAUUUUUUUUUAAAUUACCCGCAAAGAAAUUACUCAAAUGGCUCAACAUAACAAUCCUUGCCCCACCCCUUACUGGCAGACUAAUUGCCACGUGCUACUGGUUCACCUCGUGGCUUCGAUGCUGGCUUACCUUGUGCUACACUGGGACAGCAGCCAUGGGGGUGCCCCUUAAUUUUUUUAAGUUGAGGCGUGAUAGAAGUCAAUAACAGCAUACAACGCGCUCUGAGAUGCCUUGACGCAAAGGGAGUUGCCAAAAAGUGUAUUAUCUUGGGCAGCAUUAGCCCCUAACUGGGAUUUAUACCGUCAUCUUUUUUCACUGAUUGCAAGUCAAGCCCUCUCUGCCACAGCGGCACCUAAGCAACUGUCAGCUCCGUUUACCCAUAUAUGAAAAUGCUUAAAAAUAAAAUAGUCAGUCAUCCUUGGCAACUGAGAGGAUUGUUUUCAACUCGUGACAAUCAAGAAAAAAAUGUACCAACGCUCAUCUAUUACAGCUUCAACGGUGCUGUUUGUUGCUGGGCGCUUGGAGUUUUUGGGCCCUCUGGUCUGUGCUCAGAAACCGCGACUUAAAAAAUAUAACAAUGCUGAUAACACAACUGGCGUAAAAUUGUGAAAGGGUGUUUUAUUUAAACGUUAAGAGAAUGCGAGCGAUGAAGCGGUGGUUCAGUGGUUAACGCACUGCACUCUGAGCCUGGCGUCCUGAGUUAGAUUUAGCAACGGCUAACAUCAGUGGCACUGACCAGCGUCGUGAGGUCCAGUGAAUACGAAACCACGGUCAACAUGACAUAGGGAAGCCAUUAUCCAUCGGUCGAUUGAGAAUAGCCGUUUUCUUUUCUUUCUCUCAGACUCAAUUUAAAAGGAAAUGAGAAUCCGGUUUAUCUGAAAUAACUGCAAAGAUUUUGAAUCCAUGAUCUCAGGGGGGUAUGGGAUUCGUAUGCACAUCGGCAUAGCAUUGUUUGCUUAAGCCACCCGGGCUAUACCUCCUAGAUCAUCAACAUACGGUAUUAAUAAAAUAUGUUUGCUUUAUCUUGCCUCUGCUUGAGAUUGCUCGGCUUGUGAUCGAUUCAAAACAGCGAGUGAUUUCGCAUUUGACGUGAGAAACCGUUUGAUUGUUAAAUGGGAGUGGUUAUUCCGAAAUAUGAACGCCUUCAAGAUUGGACCACGUGGCUCAGCGGUUGAGUGAAAGGCUCGAAAUCCGAAU